GCACGCACGCAACCCAGAUCCCGUUUUUCCUCUCCGCCGUGGUUGGAAUCCGGCGAGGAUUCGGGUCUGAGGGAUGAGGGAGUGUUGCUCGGGGAGGCAGUUCAUGUAGAUCCGCCAUCAACGACGCCCGCCAUCCCGAAUCGACGACACCUCCUUUGCAGAAUCAUCGCCGCCGCCUGCGGGCACCAUCCAGACCGCUCUCCGCUGCACGGCGUCCGCCUCGCCCAACACCAGCAUGCCGUCUGCCUCGCCCACCACCAGGACGCCCUCCAUCACGCACGCCAAGCAGAUGCCGUCGUGCAUGCGGCAGGUCCCGGUAGCCGGCGGAACGGCCGUCAGCCUCCUCGACUGCAGCGACAGGCUCACGAGCGCCAUGGCCGAGCAGAGCAGAGCAGCUUCCAGCCCGCUGCUCAUCUACUGCAGUAAUUGAUGAAGAGCAGCGCCAUCCCAACCCCUGCAAUAAUUGAUGCUCAACAUGGCCUCCAGUUAAAGUGCAGCAAGAAUUGACAGGAUGGAUCGAAGUUGGGUUCAUGGCAGAUUGUUUUCCCCUGAACACAUUGAAGGUGUCAGACAAUUCAUGAGCUUCAUUCAAGAAAAGUUCAGUGAGAAUGUUGAAAUCUUGUGCCCUUGUGGUAGAUGCCUUAAUCAGAAAUACCUUUGUCAGCCUCUUGUGGAGAAGCACAUUUUGAUGAAUGGUAUGGAUAGUACUUAUACUCGGUGGAUUCAUCAUGGAGAAAGCAUUGAUGUAGAAGUUGUUGAGCAUCCUAUUGAUUUGCAUGACCAUAGUGAUGGUUUCAUUCAUGGAGAAGAUGACAAUGUUGAUCGUUUGGAAGGGCUUAUAGGAGACCUACACACUGCAGUAGAACAAGAAAGACAGGAUGAAGAAGAUCUGGAUGGUGAUGCAGAACCUCAUGAUAAAGAGCCAUUUUUGAAAAUAGUGAUGAAAGAGGCGAAACAUUAGUUGUACCCUGGUUGCACCAAAUUUUCAAGGUUCUCUUUUGUGGUAAAGCUUCUUCAUAUGAAGUCAUUAUAUAGGAUAAGCAAUUCUGACUUUACCGCAAUAUUGAAGCUAUUGGCUGAAGCAUUCCCUGAUUGCAAUACAAUCCCCAAAUCAUAUAAUGAAGCAAAGAAUCUUCUUAAGGAAUUAGGUCUUGGAUAUGAAUCAAUACAUGUGUGCUACAAUAAUUGUGUGCUCUUCAGAAAAGGAUAUGCCAAGCAUGACAGUUGCCCCGUUUAUGGUCUGUUAUGAUGGAAAGAUCCUGAAAGAAAGAAAAUUCCACAGAAAGUGUUGCGGCAUUUUCCAUUGGCACCUAGGCUAAAGAGGAUGUUUGUGACCAAAAAAGCAUCGGAAAAGGCACAGUGGCACAAGUUAAAGCGGCAGCCUAGGGAGGAGGAAAUGAGCCACCCAGCUGAUGGUGAGGCAUGGAAAGAUUUUGACAAAGAAUAUCCAGAUUUUGCAAAAGAUCCAAGAAACCUUAGACUUGGCCUUGCAACUGAUGGGUUCAAUCUUUUUUCAGAAAAGAACACAAGAUACAGCAUGUGGCUUGUGUUUGUGGUGCCUUACAACCUUCCCCCUUGGGCAUGCAUGGAGGAGUCAAACUUCAUGAUGGCUUUGCUUAUUCCAGGUCCUACAUGCCUUGGGAAAGAUUUUGAUGUGUUUUUAGAGCCUCUUGUGGAAGAUUUGCUUGAGCUUUGGGCAGGGGUCCGUGCUUAUGAUGCUAUUACUGGCAAAAUGUUUAAGCUCCGUGCUGCAGUUUUAUGGUGCAUCUAUGAUUACCCAGCAUUGAGCACUCUUUCUGGGCGUACCACAAAGGGCUAUUUUGCUUGUACUCAUAGUGACAAGCACCCUCUUUCAUACUGCCUAAGAGGCAAAAUUGGGUAUUUUUGACACUUUCGUUUCCUUCCAAAGGGCAAUCCCUUGCGGAGAAACAAUGAAUUUGUUGGUCUUCAUGAAAGCAAUGAUCCUCCAAGUGAAUUCUCUAUACAAGAGCUAUUGGCUGAAUUGGAGAAAGUUAAAGAUGUUAGACCUGGGAAGCCCCAAGAAAGUGGGACGAUGAGGAAGCGUUCUGAAUUGAAAAGUGGUCGUGAAAAUUUGGAGCCGGAUGGUUAGUUUAUGGAAGUUGCCAUAUUGGCAUAAAUUGAAGCUAAGACACAAUCUUCAUGUCAUGCACAUUGAGAAAAAUAUAUGUGAGAGCCUGAUUGCGACAAUUCUCAAUAUAGUUGGGAAGACAAAGGACACAGCUAAACCUAGGCUUGACCUUAAAGAUUUGAGAAUUAAAAAGGAGUUGCAAUUUAGAUAAGAUGGAGAUUCAUGUGAGAUGCCUCAUGCUCGAUAUACCUUGAAUGAUAAACAAAAGAAGGCCUUUUGUGAAUUUCUAGGAAAGGUAAAGUUUCCGGAUGGAUUUGCUUCCAACAUCUCAAGGUGUUUAAAUGCCGAGGGAACCAAGGUACAAGGGCUAAAAACACAUGAUUGUCAUAUUCUGUUGCAAAGGAUAUUACCAGCUGCAAUGAGAGGAUUUUUGGACAAGGAUAUUUAUGAAGCAAUAGCAGAGUUAGGGAAAUUUUUUAGGGAAUUGUGUAGUAGAACCUUUAAUAGGGAUGUGUUGGCUCAAAUGAAGAAAGAAAUCCCUAUAAUAUUGGUGAAGCUUGAGAAAAUAUUCCCCCCUGCUUUCUUUGAUGUGAUGAUGCACCUUCCUGUUCAUUUACCUGAUGAGGCAUUACUCCGAGGUCCUGUGCAGUAUGGGUGGAUGUAUCCAAUUGAAAGUCGGUUGUAUACCUUGAAGCGCUAUGUGAGAAAUAGGGCACGGCCAGAGGGUUCUAUUGCUGAGGCAUAUAUUGCUGAUGAAUGUCUGACAUUUUGCUCUAGAUACAUGGAUGAUGUUGACACCAGAUUUAAUCGGGAACCAAGAAACAUGGGUUUUUCUAAUGAAGAAGCUUAUGGUGUUGACGUCUUUGGGCAUGGAGUUAAUUUUACUUCUGCACCUGAACUUGUAUAUGAUGAAAAUGGCUUUGAUCAAAUGGUGUGGUUUGUGCUCAACAAUUGUAGUCAAGUGGAGACUUAUGUUGAGCAAAGUUUGAUGUUGACACAAGGGAUCCGACAAUUAAGAAAGCUUGUAUUGAGAUGAUGAAGCUUGCGGUUCGCCAACAACGUUACAAGUUGAAGAAGGAAUUUUUCGAUCCUUUUCCACUACAUUUAGUUAUGAAAACUUCUCCAGUCCAUUCCAUGUCUGAUAAACAGUGGAUUGACCUUGGGGAAUCAUGGAAGACUCCAAAAAAAUGGAGAUAUGUCAAAUGAACAAAGACAACCGAGGCAAUGUUAUGUUACAUCAAACUACUGGGUCCCGGAGUUACAUGGUCUUUGUUGAAAAUAUUGUGUUGUGAACAAGAUUGAUACAUGUAUAUAUUGUUUUCAGGCAGAUAAGUACAGUGGUCAUGAACCUGAUGCAUUUGAUUUGUUCAAGGACUGCCACUACAGCAAGAAAAUGAAGGGCUACAUGCCUGCUGUGCAGGCUGCAAUUGCUCAAAUGGAGAGCAAGUUAUCUACAACUACAGAAAGUGAAGCACCCAAGACUGUGAAUCAGGUUGUAGCUAAUGUGCUGGCUGAGAAAACACGAAAGAAUCAGUUCCUUCGCAAUGUGGGGAUCGAGGUUGCAAAACCUACAUCCAGUGAACAGAAUGGUGCUGUCUCAGAUCUGCAAGCAGAGAAUGCUGAACUUCGGUCGAUUAUCAACACCCAACAUAGACAGAUUGAUGAUUUGACAAUGAAGCAAGCUGAGCUGGAAGCGAAACUUGAACUAGUGCUAAGUCAGGUUCGACGAAGUUAAGCAACUGCAUAUGUUGUUCUGCGGUACCACUGCUACCAUUCUGCUGCUGCAUGCUGCUGUCUUUUGCUGUUUUUGGUGGAGUGCCUAUGUGCCAUGGGAUUGGAUGUGUUCUGCAACAAACUUUUGUUGCUGCAUCAGCAUUUUGUUGCAGAACACAUCAUGGGUGUGAUGUUGCUUCAACAAACUUGUUUGUUGUCAUGUUAAAUUUCUGGAUUGCCGGAUGUGUUUAUAUCUGGAUGAAAACUAGAGAUGAUGUAUCUGUGUGCUAAUAUUGAAACUGAUUAUUGUGCCAAAAAAUUAUUGCUGUUA